CCCCAGCCACAAUUCUAUCUCUCAUCUUUGGCCACAUCAUUUUUUUUAAAACAACAAGUAUCAAACUUUCCUAUUUAAAGCAUCGGCCUUCAUCAUCUGAUUUUUCGAAACAUGCCAAAAACACAGCAAGCUUUAAAAUUAUUUGUGCUCUUUUCUCUGCACAAGGUAAUUUUAUUAUUUCUGUAAAUUUUUCAUUCUUCUCCAGUUCACUACUGUAUCCCAUAUUUUGUGCAGAGAUAAUUUUUAAUAAUCUUUAAACUCUCACAAUUCAUUUUACUCUCAAAUUCCAAAAUCCCCAACAUCUUCAAUUCAAAAGCAAACAGAAGAUUCAAAAGCAAACUUUGAUCAGCAAGCCAAAUUUGAUUUCCACAGCAGCAAAUUUUGAAGCAGCAAACUUUGAAGCAACAAAGUUUGAUUGAUCUAUUUUCACACUUUCACACGUUCUAUGUCAAAUAUUUCAAUCUAUUUAAACAUCAAUGUAUCAUUCUCAAAUUCACAAAUCAACAAAAAUUCACUCAAAUAUUUCCAAUUCGCAGCAACUGAUUUACUUCACUCAUUCAAGCUGGUAAUUUUAAUAACUUUUGAAAAGUUAUUUCAUUUCAAGCAUAUCAACAAUUUUCUGCAUUUUCGCCAAAACCAAGGCUAAACAUCAAAAACUUUGUUUUCAAAAUCCAAUCAUGCAUACAUCUAUUUUUCUGUAAUUUAUAUAUUGCUAAAUACAUGAAAAAGAAAAUAGAAUAAAUCUUAUAUACUAUUACAUAGGAUAAAAGAAAAGGGUUAGAGAUGAAGAAGGAAUUCUGGAGUGUUGCCGCCGGCGCUACGCGCCACGGCGACCUGAGAGGUAGGGGACAAGGGCGGCGGCGCGGUGGCCACGGCCGCUGCUGUGCUGUUCUGAUCGGGGCAGCGAGAAAGGGGCCUGGGCGGCGCCGCUGUCGACGCAGGGGCGGCGAUGGUGGUACUGCUAUCGGCUAGAAGGGAGAAGGAAGGUGAGGGUGACGCCGGGCAGGAGGUGGUGGCGGCGAGGGUCGCCGGAAAUGGAGGCGCGGCCGCGGCUUGGCGCGGCGAGGAGAGGGGUAGAAGGGAGACAACAGCAGAUGAGGAAAAAGGAGAGUGAGGGAGGGAAGUCGAUGAAGGGGAAGAGAGAGGACAGGGGGAGGCAGAGUCGCCGGCCGUCCGGUGGCGCGGUGGUAGGAGGCCGAGAGGGAGAGAGAGGGGUGGAGAGAAGAGAGAGAGCGGCAGUGAGAGGGAGAGUGAGGUUAUGCGUGGGUGUUGAGGUGCGGCGCGACUAGGAUAUGAAUUUUAAUUGUAUUACUCAAGUUAGCAUUCAAGUUGAAGUUCAAGUUCAAGUUAAAUUUCCAGUUUCAGGUGAUUGAUAUCGGAGGCGCGUGGAGAGUCGAAUGGGCGCGUCGAAUCUAUUUAAAGAUAAAUGUUUCUUAAAACAUAUUAUGUUAUUUCAUGUGAUAUCUUUUGGUUAUGUAAACUCUGAAAUUCUAUACUAUUUGAGAUUUGUGUGUGAUUUAUUUAAAUAAAUGUUGUUAUAUUAUUUUAAUGUCA